GACAAACCAACUCAUAUCUGCAGGCUUGAUAAAUCGCUUUAUGGUUUGAAACAGGCUCCCCGAGCAUGGUAUUCUCGCUUGAGUUCCAAGUUGCAAACACUUGGUUUCGUUUCCUCUAAAUCUGACACCUCCUUGUUUAUUUACAAUAAGUGCAACACAGUCAUCUUUGUGCUCAUUUAUGUUGAUGAUAUUAUUGUCACAAGCUCAUUUGAUGAGGCAGUUACAGCUCUACUCAAAGACUUGAACUCUGAGUUUGCUCUGAAAGAUCUUGGAGAUUUGCAUUAUUUUCUUGGCAUUGAGGUUAAGCACAACAAAGAAGGUGGUCUUCAUCUUUCUCAAGAAAAAUUUGCAACCAAUCUUCUGAGCAAGGCAGGGCUCCAAGGUUGUAAACCAUCCACAACUCCAUUAUCCAGUUCUGAGAAAUUAUCACUUGUGGAGCGUACACCUUUGAGUCAUGAAGAUGGCACAAAAUACAGGAGCUUGGUAGGUGCAAUUCAGUGUUUGACACUUGCUAGGCCUGACAUCUCCUUUGCAGUAAAUAAAGUGUGUCAGUUUCUUCAUGCACCCACUUCUAGUCAUUGGACUGCUGCUAAACGUAUUCUGAGAUACGUCAAGCAUACACUAAGUGUUGGUCUCACCUUCACUAAGUCAUCCUCUACUCUAGUCAGUGCAUUCUCUGACUCUGAUUGGGCAGGUUGA
rnacentral:rRNA from 1 species